CCAGAAUUCAUAUGCUUAUCCCGAAGAUUAAGCCAUGCAUGCCUACGAAAAUAUUAGCCGACCGACCGACGGCCUACCCCGCGAGGGGAUGGCCGGCAACUGGGAGGCCGAUGACUCAGCGAACGGCUCCGUAUAUCUGUUGUGACCUAUCGUGGUAAAUUAGGCGUGGAUAUCCACGGAAAAUCUGUGGGUAAGCCAGCCAAUUGGGGCACAGCGCCUUCCAGCAUGGCAUGCUGGCCGGGCCUAAGCGGGCCUCCCUUAGGGGGGCCCCGCCUCAUUAAACGCUCCCAAAGUAGCGGCUUCCCGGCUUAACUGGGACCAAAGCUGCGAAACGGAGGCCUCUGCCGCUCGGUGUGCCCCCCAGCUGACACCGUUCAGCCAGGUGCCCGGGCUCCUGCAGAGACUAACCACAAGCGCACGAUGGGCUUCAGACCUAUCAGCUGGUUGGUAGGGUAUAGGCCUACCAAGGCGAUGACGGGUACAGAGGAUCAGGGUUUGAUCCUGGAGAGGUAGCCUGAGAAAUCGCUCCCACUUCUAAGGAAGGCAGCAGGCGCGGAACGUUCCCAAUGCCGUUCGAUCGGUGAGGACGUGAAGGGAUAUAACAAUGCCCCCAAAAAAAUUUGGUGGGUAAUUGCUGAUGGGCCGGGCAUAAACCACCCGGCGAGAAGCGACUGGAGGACAG
rnacentral:rRNA from 1 species